rnacentral:rRNA from 1 species
AGUCGAACGAAGUAGCAAUACUUAGUGGCAGACGGGUGAGUAACAUGUGGGUAUCUGCCCUUUGGCCUGGAAUAACACGAGGAAACUUGUGCUAAUACCGGAUAAGUCUUUACGGAGAAAGCUUUAUGCACCAUUGGAUGAGCCUGCACUUGAUUAGUUUGUUGGUGGGGUAAUGGCCUACCAAGACUGUGAUCAAUAGCUGAUUUGAGAGGAUGAUCAGCCACAUUGGGACUGAGACACGGCCCAAACUCCUACGGGAGGCAGCAGUGGGGAAUCUUGCACAAUGGAGGAAACUCUGAUGCAGCGAUGCCGCGUGAGUGAAGAAGGCCUUUGGGUUGUAAAGCUCUUUCGUCGGGGAAGAAAAUGACUGUACCCGAAUAAGAAGGUCCGGCUAACUUCGUGCCAGCAGCCGCGGUAAUACGAAGGGACCUAGCGUAGUUCGGAAUUACUGGGCUUAAAGAGUUCGUAGGUUGUUGAAAAAGUUGGUGGUGAAAUCCCAGAGCUUAACUCUGGAACUGCCAUCAAAACUUUUCAGCUAGAGUAUGAUAGAGGAAAGCAGAAUUUCUAGUGUAGAGGUGAAAUUCGUAGAUAUUAGAAAGAAUACCAGUUGCGAAGGCAGCUUUCUGGAUCAUUACUGACACUGAGGAACGAAAGCAUGGGUAGCGAAGAGGAUUAGAUACCCUCGUAGUCCAUGCCGUAAACGAUGUGUGUUAGACGUUGGAAAUUUAUUUUCAGUGUCGCAGCGAAAGCGAUAAACACACCGCCUGGGGAGUACGACCGCAAGGUUAAAACUCAAAUGAAUUGACGGGGACCCGCACAAGUAGUGGAGCAUGUGGUUUAAUUCGAAGAUACGCGCAGAACCUUACCAACACUUGACAUGUUCGUCGCGACUCUAAGAGAUUAGAGUUUUC